rnacentral:lncRNA from 1 species
AUCGAUACAAUAUGCUUCUAACCUUUUUUUUUUGGUAUUUUUCCUUUCCAAAUCAUAACAUACAAUCUAAAAUAUGAUUAAAAAUAUUUGAUUUUUUUUUUCUAAAUCCCACUUGACCAGCAAAAGUCUUCCGGGGAUCUCUAGAUCUCCCCCUUGAGCUCCUCACCAACGCCCCUCCGGUUCGUUUCAUUCACAGCCAGCUUCAUCAAAUCCACCAUCUCCAGCUCCAGGCCGUAGUCCUCGCUUAACUUCACCACGUCGAAGGCAAUACGGACGCCAGAGAAGACAAGCCUCGGGUCGCCAAGAGCAUCACGGAGUGAUUGAAGCAGCAAGCAUGCCGAUCCUGCGGACGAGGCAGCCGGUGCAGAGCUGAAAGGUAGAGCGGUGCCUCGCGGGAGCCUGCGUUGAAGCCGCGACGGUCCGGGGGUGGUGACGAGAGAUCCACCGGCGAGCGAGUGACAAGGGAGAGUCAUUAUUCUUCGCGAGUGGGACCAUUACGGGCGGCAAUCUUUCUCGUGUGCUUGCGUACGACGUGUUUGAUAAAAUACUCUUUUUGGCUCGGCGCAUCGUGCGCGUCACUUUUAUUAACCUGCG